UACGGGGGGAGCAAGCGUUGUUCGGAUUUACUGGGCGUAAAGGGCGCGUAGGCGGCCACCGCAAGUCAAUUGUGAAAUCUCCGGGCUUAACUCGGAAAGGUCAACUGAUACUGCGGGGCUAGAGUGCGGAAGGGGCAACUGGAAUUCUCGGUGUAGCGGUUAAAUGCGUAGAUAUCGAGAGGAACACCUGCGGCGAAGGCGGGUUGCUGGGCCGACACUGACGCUGAUGCGCGAAAGCCAGGGGAGCGAACGGG
rnacentral:rRNA from 1 species